rnacentral:pre_miRNA from 1 species
AGGAACAACCCCAGCCCCAGUGGUUGCUGCAGCUCUGGAAACCUGUAUUCAGCUCCCGCAGGAACUACUCCAUCUGCAGGGGCCUGGAGGCUCCGGGGCGGG